AUGGGCGGCCGCGCCCGCUCCCUCAUCCGCUGGCUGCGCCACCACCGCUCCCGCCGCGUCUCCUCCGCCUCAUCCUCUUCCUCCUCCCACCUGACCGCGCACACCAAUACAUCCUCCGCGACCACCGCCACCAGCGACCUGCGCGCACGCUCGCUCCCGCAGCCGCAGGACGACGAGGUCCACUGGGAGGAGCAGGAGCAAGAGCAGGAGGAGGUCGCCGACGGCCCCGAGUCCGACCCCGAGGGAUACAUUGUGCUCGAGCGGGAGGGGGAGGCCGGGAGCCUGCGCGUCGUCGUACCCCGCGCGCCCGCGCGCACCAACCCGCCGCCACGCAUGGAUCCCGGCAAGAAGACCUCGGAAUCCGAGUUCUUCACGGAGUAUGGUGAAUUAAACCGGUAUCAGGUCAGCGAGGUCAUUGGCAAAGGGAGUUAUGGUGUUGUGGCUGCUGCUAUCGACACCCAGACCGGCGAGCGUGUGGCCAUCAAGAAGAUCAAUGACGUCUUUGAUCAUGUCUCCGAUGCCACCCGCAUCCUUAGGGAGAUCAAGUUGCUCCGGUUGCUGCGUCACCCGGACAUAGUUCAGAUCAAGCACAUUAUGCUCCCCCCUUCAAGGAGGGAAUUCAGGGACAUAUAUGUGGUCUUUGAGCUGAUGGAGUCCGAUCUCCAUCAGGUAAUAAAAGCGAACGAUGAUCUCACACCAGAGCAUCACCAGUUCUUCUUGUAUCAGCUGCUCCGGGGAAUGAAGUACAUCCAUGCAGCGAGUGUUUUCCAUCGGGAUCUUAAGCCCAAGAAUAUUCUAGCGAAUGCUGACUGCAAGCUGAAGAUUUGUGAUUUUGGGCUUGCCCGUGUAUCAUUUAAUGACGGGGCUCCAUCAGCCAUAUUCUGGACGGACUAUGUUGCAACUAGAUGGUAUCGUGCUCCAGAAUUGUGUGGCUCUUUUUUCUCAAAGUACACUCCUGCAAUUGAUAUUUGGAGCGUAGGGUGUAUCUUUGCAGAAAUGCUCAUAGGGAAGCCACUCUUUCCAGGGAAGAAUGUUGUCCAUCAAUUGGAUCUCAUGACUGAUGUACUUGGCACUCCUUCAGCAGAAUCUCUCGCUAAGAUACGGAAUGAGAAAGCUCGGCGAUACUUGAGCAAUAUGAGGAAGAAGCCUAAAGUUCCCCUUACCAAAAAAUUUCCAGGCAUCGAUCCUAUGGCUCUCCAUUUGCUUGAGCGUCUUCUUGCUUUUGAUCCUAAGGAUAGGCCAACUGCUGACGAGGCCCUGACAGACCCAUACUUUACCGGAUUAGCAAAUUCAGAACGUGAACCCAUAGCACAGCCCAUCUCAAAACUUGAGUUUGAGUUCGAGAAGAGAAAGUUGGGCAAAGAUGAUGUCCGAGAAUUAAUUUACAGAGAGAUUUUGGAGUACCAUCCUCAGAUGUUGCAAGAAUACCUACGUGGAGGAGACCAGAUGAGCUUCAUGUACCCUAGUGGGGUGGAUCGCUUCAAGCAGCAAUUCGCUCAUUUGGAAAAAGGUGGUGCGAAGGGUGAAAAAUCCAGUCCACAGUUGCGACAAAAUGCUUCCUUACCAAGGGAAAGAGCAAUUGGCAAUAAGCACGGAGAUAGUGACUACCAAGUAAAGCUGAAUACAGGUGAAAAGCCAGUACAUGCAUCAGUGACAGAUGGAAUAAGCAAACCCCUCAUGAGUGCUCGGAGCUUACUGAAGAGUGAAACCAUGAGUGCUUCCAAGUGUAUAGGUGAAAUAAAAAAUAAAGAUGAUGAAUACGAGAGCGUGGAUGCAGCUGACGGCGUCUCUCAGAAGGUCGCUCAACUGAAAACCUGA
rnacentral:rRNA from 1 species